rnacentral:rRNA from 1 species
AACGCGAAGAACAUUACCUGGUCUUGACAUAGUAAGAACUUUCCAGAGAUGGAUUGGUGCCUUCGGGAACUUACAUACAGGCGAUGCAUGGCUGUCGUCAGCUCUGUCGUGAGAUGUUGGGUUAAGUCCCGCAACGAGAGCAACCCUUUUCCUUAUUUGCCAGCAUUUCGGGUGGGAACUUUAAGGAUUAAGGCACAGACAAACUGGAGGAAGUCGGGGACGUCGUCAAGUCAUCAUGGGCCUUUCGACCAGGACUACACACGUGAUACAAUGGCCGCAACAAAUAGUGGCUACCUAGCGAUAGGAAGCUAAUCUCACAAAGCCGAUCGUAGUCCGGUUUCGAGUAUGCAACUCGACUCCAAGAAGUCGGAAUCGCUAGUAAUCGCGGAUCAGAAUGCCGCGGUGAAUACGUUACCGGUCAUGUCACACCG